rnacentral:rRNA from 1 species
CGUGCAGGUGGCUCUGUAAGUUGGAUGUUAAAUCUUCCGGCCUAACCGGGAGUGGUCAUUCAAUACUGCGGGGCUUGAGGGCGGAAGAGGGGGGUGGAGUUGCCGGUGUAGUGGUGAAAUGCGUAGAUAUCGGCAGGAACACCUGUGGCGAAAGCGGCCCCCUGGUCUGCUCCUGACACUCAGACGCGAAAGCUAGGGUAGUGAACGGGAUUAGAAACCCCGGUAAUCCUAGCCGUAAACGAUGGAUGCUAGGUGUAGGUGGUAUUGACCCCAUCUGUGCCGAAGCUAACGCGUUAAGCAUCCCGCCUGGGGACUACGACCGCAAGGUUAAA